CAAGCGCGAGUGAACGUCAUACGCGCGCGCUUCCGCAAAGUAGUGACAAAGAUGGCGGCCGCCGCCGGAUCAGGCGUCGUAGUUCCCCGCAGCUUUCGGCUGCUGGAGGAACUGGAGGAAGGUCAGAAGGGAGGUGGAGACGGUACAGUGAGCUGGGGCCUUGCAGAUGAUGACGACAUGACGCUGACUCACUGGAAUGGUAUGAUUAUUGGCCCCGCCAAGACUGUGUAUGAAGGCAGGAUAUACAGUCUGAAAAUAGAAUGUGGAUCCAGAUACCCAGAGAACCCCCCUCUUGUCCGGUUUGUGAACAAGAUCAACUUGAGCGGCGUACACAAUUCAAAUGGUGUGACUCAAAAGGACUGAGGACGUGCAGAGACAGAUGGGAGGUAUUAGCAAAACAAACGCACGUGUGAAAGUUGAACAGCCCAACCAGUGUGAUUUGCUAUCCAAUAAAUUUGUUUAGAAUUUGUCCAGAUUUCAACCAGCCCUGCUGUGGCACCUGAAGCAGCAUGAGAGGCUCAGGAAGGGAUAGCUGUAGCUAAUGGAGAUAGAGAUGUAGGAGAGGAGGAGGCGGAGGACAGCAGCCAACAUGAUGGUGUGGGAGAGCCAGCUAGGGCAGAAGCAACAGGUGGACAUUAAGGCGGUGACAGCGCUGUCCAGGUGGAAAAACUCCUACAACAUCCGGCUGGUGCUGCAGGAGCUCAGAC